rnacentral:rRNA from 1 species
GAGUUUGAUCAUGGCUCAGAUUGAACGCUGGCGGCAGGCCUAACACAUGCAAGUCGAGCGGCAGCGCGGGGCAACCUGGCGGCGAGCGGCGGACGGGUGAGUAACGCGUAGGAAUCUACCCAGUAGCGGGGGAUAGCCCGGGGAAACUCGGAUUAAUACCGCAUACGCCCUAAGGGGGAAAGCAGGGGAUCUUCGGACCUUGCACUAUUGGCAGAGCCUGCGUUGGAUUAGCUAGUUGGUAGGGUAAAGGCCUACCAAGGCAACGAUCCAUAACUGGUCUGAGAGGAUGAUCAGUCACACCGGAACUGAGACACGGUCCGGACUCCUACGGGAGGCAGCAGUGGGGAAUAUUGGACAAUGGGGGCAACCCUGAUCCAGCCAUGCCGCGUGUGUGAAGAAGGCCUUCGGUUGUAAG